rnacentral:lncRNA from 1 species
AGUUGUAUCUAGAAAAAAUAUGGAAGCAAAAAAAAUUGUUCCUGAAACAAUCGUCAUUGACGAUGAACAAGAUUUAGAAUUUACGCAGAUUGACUUGACCGUCGAUGAAUUUAUGAAAGUUUUAGACGAAAAAACGUAAAAUGAAAUUUCAAUAGAAGUUACAGAAAACGGAACGUCGGAACAAAAUGUACAUUUAGAAGUAAAAAAAAAAAAGAGCAAAUAUAAACUCAAAAGGCAAAGAGAGAGAAAAAACAAAUAAAAAAAACGAACGUCUAAUCAAGUAUAUUACACCACGUGAAAAACGUGUUGUUUGUUGUUUAUUCAUACUUGGGGUGAAUGUGAUACUACCUCUGCGCUUUUUGGUCAAGGGAAAAUAGCUGUACUAAAGUUUGUUGAAUCAAAUUGUGAGUUUGUUUAAAAUAUAUAUAAAGUCUUCCAAGAUCCUUUCGCAACACAAGAUCAGGUAGUUAGUAUUUGAAUGCAAGUGGUUUUGAAUAUGUAAGGUG